rnacentral:rRNA from 1 species
AUAAACGCUGGCGGCGUGCAUGAGACAUGCAAGUCGCACGAAGGAUCGGGCUUGCUCGAUCCUUAGUGGCGGACGGCUGAGUAACGCGUAGGUGACCUACCCCGAAGUGGGGAAUAACUGCCCGAAAGGGCGGCUAAUACCGCAUGUGGUCGCACGUUCAUUCGUGCGAGUAAAGCCGCAAGGCGCUUCGGGAGGGGCCUGCGUCCGAUUAGCUCGUUGGUGGGGUAAUGGCUUACCAAGGCGACGAUCGGUAGGUGGUCUGAGAGGACGAUCACCCAGACUGGGACUGAGACACGGCCCAGACUCCUACGGGAGGCAGCAGUCGGGAAUUUUACUCAAUGGGGGAAACCCUGAAGCAGCAACGCCGCGUGAGGGAUGAAGGCCUUCGGGUUGUAAACCUUUUUUGUCAGGGACGAUGAUGACGGUACCUGGCGAAUAAGCCACGGCUAACUACGUG